AAACCAGUGGAGUAUGAAAUACUUUUCAGUUAGGUUGAAAUUGGUGAACAAUCCAAUCUAUUUAGGAUACUUUUUCCCAUUCUUUUGAAAUUCUUAUAGCUUAUCAUUUUGGUUUAAGGUACAUAGAUUUCUUAUGAAAAAAAAGACAAUGAAAUCAAAAUUAAAAUAAUUUCAUGUGUCAUCAAAAGCAUAAAUACACAUAGUUGAUGUACAAAGGGGAAAAGAUCACUUUUAAAAAGUAAUAAUAGAUUAUAUAGGCAGCAAGUUCAAACCGUUAGGUUCAGGAAAGGUUGGCAUGUUUCUUUAGCUCUUUAAAUCUUAAAGCCCUGUGGAUAGUAAGCAUGGUUACUCAGUUUUGGAAAACUCUUAAGAGAAUGAUAUCUUCUUUUUAGUACUAUGCAUUCUCUUUGUGAAGUUACAAAAUAGUUUAUGGUCUUCAAAAAUGUACAGUCUCAAUAACAUCCAAGCAUCUGAGAAACUCUAAACUGGGAUCUUAGGGGAAACACCUCAGUAGACUCUCCUUGGGUGUUUCGUUUGUUUUAAUACUUAUUGUUGAAAGUAUUACAUAUGAUGUCCCCUUCUCCCCACUCCCCCCUGACUUCUAGCCCAACUUCACCCUCCCCUUCACCCCAGGCUUUCACCACCCUAUUGUCUGUGUCCAUAUGCAUACAAGUUCACUGGCUGAUCUCUUUCCACCCACCUCCCCUGCCUUCUCCCUAAGUGUUGGUGAGGAUGUGGAAAAAAGGGAAUCCUUGGUUUUAUGUUAGAGAACAAUAAAGCUGUUCCUGAACCUUCCCAUAGAAUUGUUAGGAAAGAGGCUAGCAAAAAUGAUCCUGCUACUAUAAUUACCUUUUCAAAUAAACACCUAGGGAAAGUUUUUAUCUCCCAAUGGAUUUCAUGUGGCCCAUCUAAGCUGUUCAUUUGGCCCUCAAUUUCAGGAUCAAGUCUGAGAAGCUCAUGAAUGACCGCAAAAGGAAGAAAUCCAAGCUAUAAAAUUAUGCUCACCUCCCCAGCCCCACUCCCCUGAAUUCAAUAAAGCUAAUUUCAUUUUGCAUGAAAA